rnacentral:rRNA from 1 species
AUGAACGCUGGCGGCGUGCCUAAUACAUGCAAGUCGAGCGAACAGACGAGGAGCUUGCUCCUCUGACGUUAGCGGCGGACGGGUGAGUAACACGUGGAUAACCUACCUAUAAGACUGGGAUAACUUCGGGAAACCGGCGCUAAUACCGGAUAAUAUAUUGAACCGCAUGGUUCAAUAGUGAAAGACGGUUUUGCUGUCACUUAUAGAUGGAUCCGCGCCGCAUUAGCUAGUUGGUAAGGUAACGGCUUACCAAGGCAACGAUGCGUAGCCGACCUGAGAGGGUGAUCGGCCACACUGGAACUGAGACACGGUCCAGACUCCUACGGGAGGCAGCAGUAGGGAAUCUUCCGCAAUGGGCGAAAGCCUGACGGAGCAACGCCGCGUGAGUGAUGAAGGUCUUCGGAUCGUAAAACUCUGUUAUUAGGGAAGAACAAAUGUGUAAGUAACUAUGCACGUCUUGACGGUACCUAAUCAGAAAGCCACGGCUAACUACGUG